rnacentral:rRNA from 1 species
GAUUUCUGGUUUGAUGUACCUGUCCCGCUGCGGUAACGCAUGUGAGUGACGGAGUAUGUCUGCCAUCCUUCUAGAGAACACAAGCUAUCCUUUACUGGACCGGUUUGUGUCAUCUAGAUCUUUUACUUUGAAAAAAUUAGAGUGUUUCAAGCAGGCGUUUUGCUAUGAAUACAUUAGCAUGGAAUAAUAAUUUAGGACUUCGGUCCUAUUUUGUUGGUUUCUAGGACAGAAGUAAUGAUUGAUAGGGACAGUUGGGGGUGCUAGUAUUCCGCGGCCAGAGGUGAAAUUCUUGGAUUCGCGGAAGACUAACUACUGCGAAAGCAUU